rnacentral:rRNA from 1 species
UACGUAGGGUGCAGGCGUUAAUCGGAAUUACUGGGCGUAAAGCGUGCGCAGGCGGUUUUGUAAGCCAGAUGUGAAAUCCCCGGGCUUAACCUGGGAAUGGCAUUUGGGACUGCAAGGCUUGAGUUUGGCAGAGGAGACUGGAAUUCCUGGUGUAGCAGUGAAAUGCGUAGAUAUCAGGAGGAAUACCGAUGGCGAAGGCAGGUCUCUGGGCUGAAACUGACGCUCAUGCACGAAAGCGUGGGGAGCAAACAGG